rnacentral:rRNA from 1 species
CACGUAGGGUGCGAGCGUUGUCCGGAAUUAUUGGGCGUAAAGAGCUCGUAGGCGGUGUGUCGCGUCGGCCGUGAAAACCAGCAGCUUAACUGCUGGCUUGCGGUUGAUACGGGCGGGCUAGAGUUCGGUAGGGGAGACUGGAAUUCCUGGUGUAGCGGUGAAAUGCGCAGAUAUCAGGAGGAACACCGGUGGCGAAGGCGGGUCUCUGGGCCGAUACUGACGCUGAGACGCGAAAGCGUGGGGAGCAAACAGG